rnacentral:misc_RNA from 1 species
UGAAUGGCUGAGAAGCACCAUCCUCA